UGUGUCUGCGCUUACAAUACUCCUGCAUGCUCCACACUACUCAAUAGCAGCAACUCCACCGGCUUCUGCUUCUUUAAAUACUUGACGGCAUUUACCUGAUUACCUGCUGCAGCCCUGAUAUGACAAGAUACUGUAACAGCCCAUCUCAUCAGCUCACAUGCAGUAUACAAAGACAAAAAGAAAAGCAACUAAGAACUAUUUCAGAACAAAAAAUAUACUGAGAUAACAUAGCAGGUACCAAAAGUCCAAAAUGCAGAGCGUGUCUUCAAGAACUCAGCAUUGAGAGUAAAGAGUAACCUGAUAGCAUCCCAGAAAUUGGCUAAUCAUCGAUGAGAAGAUUAAAAGUAAAGUUGUAAAAUCAAACUGAACAUAAUAACACAAACAAACAAAAAGAAAUGUAAACAGUAAACAUAUACGUAAAUAAAA